ACGCUGGCGGCACGCCUAACACAUGCAAGUCGAACGAAGUAGCAAUACUUAGUGGCGAACGGGUGAGUAUAAUGUGGGUAUCUGCCUUUUGGUUUGGAAUAACACGAGGAAACUUGUGCUAAUACCGGAUAAGCCCUUACGGGGAAAGUUUUAACGCCGAAAGAUGAGCCCGCACUUGAUUAGCUAGUUGGUAAGGUAAAAGCUUACCAAGGCUACGAUCAAUAGUUGAUCUGAGAGGAUGAUCAGCCACAUUGGGACUGAGACACGGCCCAAACUCCUACGGGAGGCAGCAGUGGGGAAUCUUGCACAAUGGGGGAAACCCUGAUGCAGCGAUGCCGCGUGAGUGAAGAAGGCCUUUGGGUUGUAAAGCUCUUUCGUCGGGGAAGAAAAUGACUGUACCCGAAUAAGAAGGUCCGGCUAACUUCGUGCCAGCAGCCGCGGUAAUACGAAGGGACCUAGCGUAGUUCGGAAUUACUGGGCUUAAAGAGUACGUAGGUGGUUAGAAAAGUUGGUGGUGAAAUCCCAAGGCUUAACCUUGGAACUGCCAUCAAAACUUUUUAACUAGAGUAUGAUAGAGGUAAGCGGAAUUUCUAGUGUAGAGGUGAAAUUCGUAGAUAUUAGAAAGAACACCAAUUGCGAAGGCAGCUUUCUGGAUCAUUACUGACACUGAGGUACGAAAGCAUGGGUAGCGAAGAGGAUUAGAUACCCUCGUAGUCCAUGCCGUAAACGAUGUGUGCUAGAUGUUGGGAAUUUAAUUCUCAGUGUCGCAGCAAAAGCGUUAAGCACACCGCCUGGGGAGUACGACCGCAGGUUAAACUCAAUGAAUUGACGGUC
rnacentral:rRNA from 1 species